UGAGUUCAUACUGAUGGUGCUAUGUUUACUUGCUGUAUGCCUCAUGCCUAAUCUUAGCCACAGUUCAAAGAUCUUCUUCUUUGUUGAUUCUAAAACUGAGGUCCAAUGUGAAGUCAUGAAUGUUGACCAGGAGCUGAACUUUGAGGCCCAAUCUUUGGUAUUUACUUAGUUCACUUCAUUCUACAUCAAAAAGGAAGUUUUGUGUUGGAAAGAGCUUUUUUGUACCUCCUCUGGAGUCUGAUAUUAGCCUGCUGCCAGCACCUGACGGCACCAUAAGAACCGAAGUUUGACGUCAGUUCCGCUGUAAACAACAGGGACACGUGUGCUGCCCUCCAGAGGUCAACUCCAACAAUACAGCAAAAUCACAGGAAAAGAGUUUUCCACAAAAAAAAGGCAGAUCUAACUGGAAGGAGACCCCAUUGUAGACCCAACACUCAUUAGAGGGAUUACAUAUCUCAUCUGUCCCGGAAUGUCUUGGCAUUGGAGCUGGAAAAUGCUGCUGCAGAGAGGAGAUCUGAAAUGACUUGCUUGGCCUGCUGCCUCUACGACCCAACCCUGAUCAAAUGGAUGGACGGACAUUGCUUGUGUAAUCAAUAACUGCACAAGCUGAAUAAUGUGAGAGUGUGU